rnacentral:rRNA from 1 species
GACGAACGCUGGCGGCGUGCUUAACACAUGCAAGUCGAACGGAAAGGCCCUGCUUUUGUGGGGUGCUCGAGUGGCGAACGGGUGAGUAACACGUGAGUAACCUGCCCUUGACUUUGGGAAAACUUCAGGAAACUGGGGCUAAUACCGGAUAGGAGCUCCUGCUGCAUGGUGGGGGUUGGAAAGUUUCGGCGGUUGGGGAUGGACUCGCGGCUUAUCAGCUUGUUGGUGGGGUAGUGGCUUACCAAGGCUUUGACGGGUAGCCGGCCUGAGAGGGUGACCGGCCACAUUGGGACUGAGAUACGGCCCAGACUCCUACGGGAGGCAGCAGUGGGGAAUAUUGCACAAUGGGCGGAAGCCUGAUGCAGCAACGCCGCGUGCGGGAUGACGGCCUUCGGGUUGUAAACCGCUUUCGCCUGUGACGAAGCGUGAGUGACGGUAAUGGGUAAAGAAGCACCGGCUAACUACGUGCCAGCAGCCGCGGUGAUACGUAGGGUGCGAGCGUUGUCCGGAUUUAUUGGGCGUAAAGGGCUCGUAGGUGGUUGAUCGCGUCGGAAGUGUAAUCUUGGGGCUUAACCCUGAGCGUGCUUUCGAUACGGGUUGACUUGAGGAAGGUAGGGGAGAAUGGAAUUCCUGGUGGAGCGGUGGAAUGCGCAGAUAUCAGGAGGAACACCAGUGGCGAAGGCGGUUCUCUGGGCCUUUCCUGACGCUGAGGAGCGAAAGCGUGGGGAGCGAACAGGCUUAGAUACCCUGGUAGUCCACGCUGUAAACGGUGGGUACUAGGUGUGGGGUCCAUUCCACGGGUUCCGUGCCGUAGCUAACGCUUUAAGUACCCCGCCUGGGGAGUACGGCCGCAAGGCUAAAACUCAAAGGAAUUGACGGGGCCCCGCACAAGCGGCGGAGCAUGCGGAUUAAUUCGAUGCAACGCGUAGAACCUUACCUGGGUUUGACAUGGAUCGGGAGUGCUCAGAGAUGGGUGUGCCUCUUUUGGGGUCGGUUCACAGGUGGUGCAUGCCUGUCGUCAGCUCGUGUCGUGAGAUGUUGGGUUAAGUCCCGCAACGAGCGCAACCCUUGUUCACUGUUGCCAGCACGUUAUGGUGGGGACUCAGUGGAGACCGCCGGGGUCAACUCGGAGGAAGGUGGGGAUGACGUCAAGUCCUCAUGCCCCUUAUGUCCAGGGCUUCACGCAUGCUACAAUGGCUGGUACAGAGAGUGGCGAGCCUGUGAGGGUGAGCGAAUCUCGGAAAGCCGGUCUCAGUUCGGAUUGGGGUCUGCAACUCGACCUCAUGAAGUCGGAGUCGCUAGUAAUCGCAGAUCAGCAACGCUGCGGUGAAUACGUUCCCGGGACU